rfam:Opisthorchis viverrini opera_v5_28.30, whole genome shotgun sequence.
AAAACGGAUUUUUAAAUCCACAAAGUGAGAAAUACAAAAUGAUU